rnacentral:rRNA from 1 species
GACGAACGCUGGCGGCGUGCCUAACACAUGCAAGUGGAGCGACGACCCGGGCUUCGGCCCGGUGCAAAGCCGCGAACGGGUGAGUAACACGUGGGUAACCUGCCCUGAUGAUUGGGACAACCCGAGGAAACUCGGGCUAAUACCGAAUGUGCCCUCCGGCCGUAAGGCCUCUGGGGAAAGGAAGCUUCGGCCUCCGCAUCGGGAUGGGCCCGCGGCCCAUUAGCUUGUUGGUGGGGUAACGGCUCACCAAGGCAACGAUGGGUAGCUGGUCUGAGAG